rnacentral:rRNA from 1 species
GAGUUUGAUCCUGGCUCAGAUUGAACGCUGGCGGCAUGCCUUACACAUGCAAGUCGAACGGUAACAGGUUAAGCUGACGAGUGGCGAACGGGUGAGUAAUAUAUCGGAACGUGCCCAGUCGUGGGGGAUAACUACUCGAAAGAGUAGCUAAUACCGCAUACGACCUGAGGGUGAAAGCGGGGGAUCGCAAGACCUCGCGCGAUUGGAGCGGCCGAUAUCAGAUUAGGUAGUUGGUGGGGUAAAAGCCCACCAAGCCAACGAUCUGUAGCUGGUCUGAGAGGACGACCAGCCACACUGGGACUGAGGCACGGCCCAGACUCCUACGGGAGGCAGCAGUGGGGAAUUUUGGACAAUGGGCGCAAGCCUGAUCCAGCCAUGCCGCGUGCGGGAAGAAGGCCUUCGGGUUGUAAACCGCUUUUGUCAGGGAAGAAAAGGUUCUGGUUAAUACCUGGGACUCAUGACGGUACCUGAAGAAUAAGCACCGGCUAACUACGUGCCAGCAGCCGCGGUAAUACGUAGGGUGCAAGCGUUAAUCGGAAUUACUGGGCGUAAAGCGUGCGCAGGCGGUUAUGCAAGACAGAGGUGAAAUCCCCGGGCUCAACCUGGGAACUGCCUUUGUGACUGCAUAGCUAGAGUACGGUAGAGGGGGAUGGAAUUCCGCGUGUAGCAGUGAAAUGCGUAGAUAUGCGGAGGAACACCGAUGGCGAAGGCAAUCCCCUGGACCUGUACUGACGCUCAUGCACGAAAGCGUGGGGAGCAAACAGGAUUAGAUACCCUGGUAGUC